rnacentral:rRNA from 1 species
CUACGGGUUGCUGCAGUGGGGAAUAUUGCACAAUGGAGGAAACUCUGAUGCAGCAACGCCGCGUGGAGGAUGACACUUUUCGGAGCGUAAACUCCUUUUAUAUAGGAAGAUAAUGACGGUACUAUAUGAAUAAGCACCGGCUAACUCCGUGCCAGCAGCCGCGGUAAUACGGAGGGUGCAAGCGUUACUCGGAAUCACUGGGCGUAAAGAGCGUGUAGGCGGAUAGAUAAGUCAGGAGUGAAAUCCUAUGGCUCAACCAUAGAACUGCUCUUGAAACUGUCUAUCUAGAAUAUGGGAGAGGUAGAUGGAAUUUCUGGUGUAGGGGUAAUAUCCGUAGAGAUCAGAAGGAAUACCGAUUGCGAAGGCGAUCUACUGGAACAUUAUUGACGCUGAGACGCGAAAGCGUGGGGAGCAAACAGGAUUAGAUACCCCCGUAGUC